UGCAGAUCAUUUGUUUUGGUAGCUGAAGGAAUUAUUGGAUUUCCUUACCCAAUUAUAACCACUGGAUUAUUUCUAUGGUCAUAAAACCCCGUAUGAAUAUGGUUUAGUUUAUUUACCAAAGUAAUUGAUUACUUUCUGCAAGUUAUUUACCUCUGAAACUAAGUAUGCGACAACACUAGAUAGCCAGCUAGCUCAAAAACUAGCUUGUCGAACGUACAUGGAAACUUCCAUGACCAGAACCAAAAGGAAAGAAAUGGAGAGAUCGUCAGAUGGACAAUUAACCACAAAAGAAGUCCCCAGCUCUGGCCGUUAACCUAUGACCCCGGCACUCCACUCAAGCCCCAGGGGAAAAAGAUGAGGCCAAAAGGUUCCCAGUUGUCUUGAAGACACCAUAAAUCCAGAGAAUGACAGACUUUGAUAAAGUCUGAUGACAAAUUUGCCCACGAAAGACCACAGCGCCACCUUCUUGUUCAAGUGAGCACAACAAGGAUAAAGUUUGAAAACCAGCUCCAGCAGCAGAUAGAAGAGAAUAAGCACAUUCAUGAAGCCCAAACAGACUGUCUGCUGAAAUAGAGAGGAUAGAAAACACCAAGUCUCAGCUGUUGAAAGCUGGUUUGAACCUCUACACAUGAUGACUGUAGUGUACUGUAGACUUUAACAUGGGGCUAGUGCACCAUCGGGUGUGCAACUAUGAUGUAUCUGUGCUUGAUAUGAGUGUGUGCAUGCGUGUGUUCAUAGAACAACUGAAGUUGUCUCAGCUCUGCUAUCUAGAGGAGGUGCUGGAUGAGGCCAAGAGACAGAGACAACAGACACACACAAAGACUAAACCCUGGAACUACACACUGAUAGUGGC
ensembl:lncRNA